UGUGUGAAUAUAGAAAUGGGAGGGAAAUGAAAGAGGAAGCUUUGAAAAUUUGAAACAAGCCUUAACUAAGGCUCCUGUGUUAAGUUUGCCAAAUUUGUAAAAGCCAUUCCAUCUCUUUGUAAACACAGAGAAUGGAAUUGCACAAGGUAUGUUGGCUCAGGACUGGGAAGGAUAAUGGAAGCCUGUGGCAUUCCUGUCAAAAAUAAUGGAAAAUUGACCUUUGGGGGAGUCCUCAUUAUGAGCACCCCACAUCAAGUCAGAACCAUUCUUCAGCAAAAA